GACGAACGAUGGCGGCGUGCCUAAUACAUGCAAGUAGAACGCAGUUGCGAACGGGUGAGUAACGCGUAGGUAACUGCCUCAUAGCGGGGGAUAACUAUUGGAAACGAUAGCUAAUACCGCAUACUGUGAGAUGGACCUGCGUUGUAUUUGCUAGGUGGUGAGGUAAAGGCACACCAAGGCGACGAUACAUAGCCGACCAGAGAGGGGGAUAUGACCAACAGGGACUGAGUGCCGACCAUGACGCCUAACGGAGGCAGCCGGAGGGAAUCUUCGGGCAUGGGCGGAAGUCUUAACGGGCAAAGCCCCGUUAGUGAAAAAGGGUUUCGGAUCGUAAAGCUCUGUUGUUAGAGAAGCGGUAACUAACCAGAAAGGGACGGCUAACUACGUGCCAGCAGCCGCGGUAAUUC
rnacentral:rRNA from 1 species